UACGUAGGGUCCGAGCGUUGUCCGGAAUUAUUGGGCGUAAAGAGCUCGUAGGCGGACUGUUGCGUCCGCUGUGAAAAGCUGGGGCUUAACCCUGGCCUUGCAGUGGAUACGGGCAGACUAGAGGUAGGUAGGGGAGAAUGGAAUUCCCGGUGUAGCGGUGAAAUGCGCAGAUAUCGGGAGGAACACCGGUGGCGAAGGCGGUUCUCUGGGCCUUACCUGACGCUGAGGAGCGAAAGCGUGGGGAGCGAACAGG
rnacentral:rRNA from 1 species